ACUCCUACGGGAGGCAGCAGUGGGGAAUAUUGCACAAUGGGCGAAAGCCUGAUGCAGCAACGCCGCGUGAGUGAUGAAGGCCUUCGGGUUGUAAAGCUCUGUCUUUGGGGACGAUAAUGACGGUACCCAAGGAGGAAGCCACGGCUAACUACGUGCCAGCAGCCGCGGUAAUACGUAGGUGGCGAGCGUUGUCCGGAUUUACUGGGCGUAAAGGAUGCGUAGGCGGAUAUUUAAGUGAGAUGUGAAAUACCCGGGCUUAACUUGGGUGCUGCAUUUCAAACUGGAUAUCUAGAGUGCGGGAGAGGAGAAUGGAAUUCCUAGUGUAGCGGUGAAAUGCGUAGAGAUUAGGAAGAACACCAGUGGCGAAGGCGAUUCUCUGGACCGUAACUGACGCUGAGGCAUGAAAGCGUGGGYASCAAACAGGAUUAGAUACCCUGGUAGUCCACGCCGUAAACGAUGCUCACUAGGUGUUGGGGAAGCGAUUCCUUGGUACCGAAGCUAACGCGUGAAGUGAGCCGCCUGGGGAGUACGGCCGCAAGGUUAAAACUCAAAUGAAUUGACGG
rnacentral:rRNA from 1 species